AAAUUGUCGGUAAAAUUUCCAAACAAAUGAAUUUUUGUAUAGCAUAAUGCAUCCUAGUCGAAAAGUCUUUAAUUAAGUCAUUUAAAGUAAUCAUUAUUAUCACUUAAUUUAAAAUAAAAACAUCAGGUAAAUAUCAGGUCUUUAGUAUAUCCGGGUUUUAGUGUGUCCCAUCGAAAUCGGACACAUGAUGUUUACAAACUGAAAUUGAGAAAUGAUGUGAAGUUGAACAUAAUUUCAUCAUACAAGCUGUAUGUAGACAUGUACGCACAUUUAAUCUGCAGCUAUGAAGUACUUUAUCAAUUCUCUGGAACAUUAUUCUAAGCAGAAUUAUCCGAUUUAUAUAUUCUUGUGUGAAUUGUUUACGAGGAAAUUCCGACUGUCACAUUAACAAGGAUGAACACUCUUGUCGUCUUGACUCUGUUUCGGACUUCCCAGUGAUAAUUGCAUCGAGUGAUGAAAGAGCUGACGGUGGCAUUUUAAUGAAUAAUUGGUGUGGACUAGCUGUGACCGAGAAUGAAAUCAUUUUAUGAUGCCACCGCUUGGGAUAGUAAGCUGCAAAUAUAGACUUGCACUCAGCAUUUAUUGCCUUUGAGAAGUAAGGGAUCCUUUUUGUGCCAUUUCCAACUGUGACACAGAAUCUCGGUUUAUACAGUCUCAUCAGAGUAACCUGUCUCAAGCAUUUAGCAAUGGGAUUGGAACCUUCGAGGUGUGACUGUCAUCUGAGUACUGACAUUUGAUGCCAAGCAUGAUUAUGAUUUGCCA